rnacentral:rRNA from 1 species
GAAUACGGCCAUGCCACCCUGAACAUGCCUGAUCCCGUCUGAUCUCGGAAGCUAAGCAGGGUCGGGCCUGGUUAGUACUUGGUCGGGAGACCACCUAGGAAGAUCAGGUGCUAUGUAAA